rnacentral:sRNA from 1 species
AUUUUUUGGAAGCCAAAACUUCACACGAGUGAGGUGCGGGGGACGAUUUUCUUCGCAAGGUCGUAAGAUCUGCGAUUUGGGGUGAAGCGCGAAUGCGUAGGGUUGACUCCUCAACCCGAAUCCGACAACUAACCUCGCAGGCAGUUGAAAGGAGAAAA